rnacentral:rRNA from 1 species
AACCGCGGUUAUACGAAUGACCCUAGUUGAUAGCUCAACGGCGUAAAGGGUGGUUAAGGAUAAUAAAAAUAAAAUCAAAUGGCCCCUUGGCUGUUAUACGCUCCUGGAGGUCCGAAGCCCAUGCACGAAAGUAACUUUAAUUUAAUUACCUGAACCCACGAAAGCUAAGAAA